AAACCAACAGGGAUUGCCCUAGUAACGGCGAGUGAAGCGGCAAGAGCUCAAAUUUGAAAUCUGGCCCUCUCAGGGUCCGAGUUGUAAUUUGUAGAGGGCGCUUUGGCGUUGGCCCCGGCCUAAGUUCCUUGGAACAGGACNUCACAGAGGGUGAGAACCCCGUACGUGGCCGCCGGCCUCCGCCGUGUAAAGCCCCUUCGACGAGUCGAGUUGUUUGGGAAUGCAGCUCUAAAUGGGAGGUAAAUUUCUUCUAAAGCUAAAUACUGGCCAGAGACCGAUAGCGCACAAGUAGAGUGAUCGAAAGAUGAAAAGCACUUUGGAAAGAGAGUCAAAAAGCACGUGAAAUUGUUGAAAGGGAAGCGCUUGCAGCCAGACUUGCCUGUAGUUGCUCAUCCGAGCUCCCGCUCGGUGCACUCUUCUGCGGGCAGGCCAGCAUCAGUCCGGGCGGUCGGAUAAAGGCCUCGGGAAUGUAGCUCCCCUCGGGGAGUGUUAUAGCCCGGGGUGCCAUGCGACCAGCCUGGACUGAGGUCCGCGCAUCUGCUAGGAUGCUGGCGUAAUGGCUGUAAGCGGC
rnacentral:rRNA from 1 species